CUAAUUUCUACCUCUCUUGUGCUGGAUACAAAAGGGAACAUCUCCGGAGUUGAGGUGCACUUAACGCGUGAAGCGCUGUGGAUAAGACUCUGCUUAUCUUUUCCUGAUCUCCUACACAAAAAAUCAGAACUGUUCAACUGUAGCAGCAACAGUAAACUCAAAUGCACUUGUUAGAUGGAUUCAAGUCUACAGAUCAUGAAACCCAGAAUGUAACUACAAAAAUUUGAAAAUCUAACAGACAGACCUUGACAGUCACAUAGUCAAAUCACAUACAGCAGCCAAGGAAAAUUAACAGGAAUAUCCUCUACAAUCCAGUAGGAAGAGCCAUCUAUCAAGACCUGAGAAACAGAAUCUUCAGAAUAAAGCAACCACCACUGCUGUCAGACAGCAACAAAGAACACUUUUAAUGGGCAAUCUCAAAGAUCAGACUUAGUGCUGAUGCCUGACUCACAUCUACUGAUAACAGAGCACUGUUCCUGCUGCUGAAACCAAGUCUGACUCAGGAUUCCCAUCACAACUUUCUGUUUCUAAAGGUUUAUAACUUCACCAGAAGUUGACUCUGAGUUAGAGGUUAGCAAGGAUACAGAACACUUAGCUGACAAAAUCUAGAAGAAAAAAAUCUGCCUACAUGUGAGAUAAAAGUGUGAAAAUUAUCAGAAGGACAAUGGCUUCAGAUGGUUUCUGUAAAUGAGAAAUGUCAUGUGAGAAAGAACAAUGUCCUUGCACUUAAGAGCCCAGCCAGAACUGCAGUCCCUUUAUGCUCCACUUUGCUGUUUUCAGCACCAUUUGGACAUCAGCCACCCCAGAAAAAGAACUGGACACUUGGGUAGAACAAUAGCUGAGCUGUUCAUGAAAAAUCUCCUGUGCCAGCCAGUCCCACCCAUCUGGCAGCUCCACACUGCCCUCCAGGGAGGGCCAUCCUCAAACUUACCGUGUUUCCCUCAGUUUCCCACUGGCAGGAGAGAAUUCUUUGAGAGUAAACACAUAAAGCAAGUAAGAGA